AACUGCGAGUGAAGCGGGAAAAGCUCAAAUUUAAAAUCUGGCGGUCUUUGGCUGUCCGAGUUGUAAUUUAGAGAAGCGUCUUCCGCGCCGGACCGUGCACAAGUCUCCUGGAAUGGAGCGUCAUAGAGGGUGAGAAUCCCGUCUUUGGCACGGAUGCCUGGUGCUUCUGUGAUGCGCUCUCGAAGAGUCGAGUUGUUUGGGAAUGCAGCUCAAAAUGGGUGGUGAACUCCAUCUAAAGCUAAAUAUUGGCGAGAGACCGAUAGCGAACAAGUACCGUGAGGGAAAGAUGAAAAGCACUUUGGAAAGAGAGUGAAACAGUACGUGAAAUUGUUGAAAGGGAAACGCUUGAAGUCAGUCGCGUCGACCGAGACUCAGCCUUGCCUUGGCUUGGUGUACUUCUCGGCCCGACGGGUCAGCAUCAAUUUUGUCCCUCGGAUAAUGGCAAGGGAAAGGUGGCACCUUCACGGGUGUGUUAUAGUCUCCUGUCGCAUGCGAGGGGUGGGAUUGAGGAACUCAGCGCGCACCUCGGUGCCGGGGCUUUG
rnacentral:rRNA from 2 species